rnacentral:lncRNA from 1 species
AAAGUCAAAAAAUAACACUUAAAAAGGAACGGAGGGAGUAAUUAUUAUUAAGGUUGAUAUACACUUUACAACGUGGAUGGAUUUUCAUUUACUUUAUAUAUUAUUUUGUUUUUAGAUUUUUCUUAUGUAACGUUUAGAUUUCGUUUUUUUAAUCUCUUUCUUCACGAUUCAACUAUGAAAUAGUAGGCUAUGUAAUUUAUUUAUUAAAACUAAUGUGAUUUUUUAUUUAAUUUUUUAUAUCCACAUAGAUUUUUUUUUAUAAAAAAAAUAUAAUUUUUAAUUUUUUUUAAUGUUUU